UGAAAUUCUCUGUACUUUAAAUGUAGAAUCUAGUCACCAUCUCAACAUCUUAACAAGAGUAUCAAAUCCACAUCAUUUAAAAACCAAUUGAUAAAAUAUUUAAAAAUAACAUAAUUAUUCCUAACAUUAAAUAUUUUGCUUCGAAAUAACAACAACUCAAUUUGUGUCAUACAAUAUUGUAACAUAAAAUUGAUAAUAAACACCAAAUUUUAUUUAUUUAAACUAUAUAAAUUUCAUCUCAAUUUCAAAUUUAAAAUAUGUUCAAAUUCGUAUUUCAUAGUCAGAGGUGAAAUUCUUGGAUUUAUGAAAGACAAACAACUGCGAAAGCAUUUGCCAAGGAUGUUUUCAUUAAUCAAGAAUGAAAGUUGGGGGCUCGAAGACGAUCAGAUACCGUCCUAGUCUCAACCAUAAACGAUGCCGACCAGGGAUCAACGGAUGUUGCUUUUAGGACUCCGUUGACACCUUAUGAGAAAUCAAAUUCUUUGGUUU
rnacentral:ncRNA from 1 species